UUUAUGGAGAGUUUGAUCCUGGCUCAGGAUGAACGCUGGCGGCGUGCCUAAUACAUGCAAGUCGAGCGAACAGACGAGGAGCUUGCUCCUCUGACGUUAGCGGCGGACGGGUGAGUAACACGUGGAUAACCUACCUAUAAGACUGGGAUAACUUCGGGAAACCGGAGCUAAUACCAGAUAACAUGUUGAACCGCAUGGUUCAACAGUGAAAGACGGUCUUGCUGUCACUUAUAGAUGGAUCCGCGCCGCAUUAGCUAGUUGGUAAGGUAACGGCUUACCAAGGCAACGAUGCGUAGCCGACCUGAGAGGGUGAUCGGCCACACUGGAACUGAGACACGGUCCAGACUCCUACGGGAGGCAGCAGUAGGGAAUCUUCCGCAAUGGGCGAAAGCCUGACGGAGCAACGCCGCGUGAGUGAUGAAGGUCUUCGGAUCGUAAAACUCUGUUAUUAGGGAAGAACAAAUGUGUAAGUAACUAUGCACGUCUUGACGG
rnacentral:rRNA from 1 species